UGUAUCUGUGAUGACCACUUGGCUCCCUCACCAGAAAUCAAAUGAAGAAAAAUGCCAGAAUUGUUACCCAAGAAGAGUCUGAGAUGCA